rnacentral:rRNA from 1 species
GAUGAACGCUGGCGGCGUGCCUAAUACAUGCAAGUCGAGCGAACAGACGAGGAGCUUGCUCCUCUGACGUUAGCGGCGGACGGGUGAGUAACACGUGGAUAACCUACCUAUAAGACUGGGAUAACUUCGGGAAACCGGAGCUAAUACCGGAUAAUAUAUUGAACCGCAUGGUUCAAUAGUGAAAGACGGUUUUGCUGUCACUUAUAGAUGGAUCCGCGCCGCAUUAGCUAGUUGGUAAGGUAACGGCUUACCAAGGCAACGAUGCGUAGCCGACCUGAGAGGGUGAUCGGCCACACUGGAACUGAGGCGCGGUCCAGACACCUACGGGAGGCAGCAGUAGGGAAUCUUCCGCAAUGGGCGAAAGCUUGACGGAGCAACGCCGCGUGGAUGAUGAAGGUCGUCGGAUCGUAAAGCUCUGUUAUUAGGGAAGAACAAAUGUGUAAGUAACUAUGCACGUCUUGACGGUACCUAGUCAGAAAGCCACGGCUAACUACGUG